ensembl:lncRNA
GUGCCUAGGGUGCCCAUCCAGUGCGCUUCCGCUUCUGUCUGUGGGGUUCUGGACUGACCCAGGUCAUUCUCAGCUCAGAGACCCUGCCCCCAACCCUUCCACACCCCCUCCCCAUUUUCUGGGAGCUGCACUCCAGCUCUCUGUAUGGAGAGACUUAUUGUAGGAUCACCCAUUCUGCAGAUGAGGGAAGCUGACGCAGGAGGAUUGCGAGUUUGAGCCCCAUCUGGGCAGCUUAGCAAUACUUUAUCCAAAGGUAAAAAAAACACAAAGGGCUGAGGAUGUAGCUUAGUGUGAAGGCCCUGAGUUGAAUCCUUGGGGGGGAGGGGGGGUGUCCCAGAGCCUGGAUCUUUUCAAGCCUCUGCCUUGACCACCACUCUUUUGGUUCUGUCCAAUAGCUUUUGCCAUGGGAUCUAGUUUCUUACAGCCACGACCCGUGGGUCCUUUGAAGGGGUCCCCAGUUACAAUCCUGAGAGUCUCAAAAAGAAGGCUGGAGAAAAUGAACAAAGAUGACAUGGCAGCAUGUGUCCACCAGGUGGCGCUGUCCGCCUCUGAUCAGAGCCCCUCGCUAGCCAUUUCGUUCCCGACCGUCCUCCGCUAAUCCCAAAGAGCAGACCACAAAACAAGGACUAAAACUAUUAUAUACAUGUACAUAGCAGGCAUUUAAUAAGUAUCUGUUGAAUGAAUGCACGUCAACUCUGUGAGGCAGACAAAUGAAACAGUCGUAUAGACUGAGAAGCGGAGGCUGGGUGUGAACAAUAUGUAGUAACCAUUGGCCUCUCGGCUAAUAAGGCCCUCUGUGCUGGACCCUGUGCUUAGCAUAUUUUAGUUUUCAUCGAUUUAUCCACUAGGGGCCAUGAAGCACAUGCUUUAUUCCCUCUUUGCGGGACGUGACCCACUCUGCCUGCACCCUGGCGACCCAGGAUCAAGGCCACCUGAUGGUCCAGCGUCAGCUCCCCCGUAACGGCCCCAGGAUCGAACUCAGGACCUUGCACUUGGAAGCCUUAUGCAUGUGAGGUAAAUCCUCUACCACUGAAAAAAAUUAUAAACGACAUGAUGUGGAGCUCUGAAGAAACUAGAGAAAUGGAUAAUUUUCUAGAAGAGUAUAAAUUAACAAAACUAAUCCGAAAUGAAAAAGUAAACUUGAACAGGCCCAUGACUGUAUGUAAGAGUAAUGUGUGAUUAAAAAUCUAUGACUGGGCCGGGGAUUUAGCUGUGGUUUCACUGCCUGCUGUGCAAGCACAAGGACCCGAGUUCGAUUCCCGGUACCAAAAAAAAAAAAAAAAUCUAUGACUUUGCUGGGAGCAGUGACAUACAUUUGUAAUUCCAGCCAAUUGGAAGGCUCAGGCAAGAAGGGCACAAAUUCAAGGCCAGCCUGGGCAACUUACCAAGACUCUGUCUCAAGAUUGUAAAAAUGAAAUAAAAAUGGCUGGGCAUGUAGCUCAGCAGCACCGUGCUUGCCUAGCAUAUGUGACGUUCUGGGUUCAAUCCCUAGUACUGCAAGCAAACAAACAAGACACUCUGACUUAGUUAACUCGGUAAUAAAAAGACAACCCAGGGCUGGGGAUUUAGCUCAGUGGUUACGCUCUCUGCCUUGCAAGCCUAAGGUCCGGAGUUCAAUCCCCAGUACCAAAAAAAAAAAAAAAAAGACAACCCAAACUGAAAAAUGGACAAAGAAUCUGAACAGACAUUUCUCCAAGGAAGAUGUAUAAAUACUCCAUAAUCAUGUGAAAAGAUAGUUGAUAUCAUUGGUUACUAAUGAAAUGCCAGUAAGAAGCAUGAUGAAGAUGGCAUUUCAUACUCAAUAGGGUAAGAAGAAUGAAAAAAAUCGAUAAUAAUGAGUGCUGGCAAGCACACAAAGAAACUGAAACCUUCAAACAUUGCUGUGGACACAGAAGAUGGCACAGUCACUUUGGAAAACAGUCUAGCAGUUCCUCACAUGAUUAAACUUAGAGUUAUCAUGAGGCCUGGCCAUUGUGUUCCUAGGUAUACAAUCAAGAGUUAUGAAAACAUAUGUCCACACAAAAAUUUAAACCUGAGUAUUUAUGAUAGCAUUAUUCAUAAUACCUGAAAAGUGGAAACAACCCAUCAAUGAACGAAUGGUUAAAUAAAAUGUAAUAUAUCCACACAAUGGAAUAUUAUUUGGCCAUAAAAAGUAAUGAAAUUCUGAAACAUGCCCUAACAUAGAUGAACCUUUAAAACAUUGUACUAAAUGAAAGAAGCCAGUCCCCAAAGACCACCUAGUUAUGUGAUUUGAUUCACAUGAAAUGUUCAGAAUAGGAAAGUCCAUUAAUAAAGAGUAAAUGGUGGCCACUUAGGACUUGGGGUAGAGGUAGAGGAGUUGGGAGGUAGACAGCUAAAGGGUAAGGGCCUUCUUCUCCUUUUUUUGGUACCUGGGAUUGAACUUGGGACCUUGCACUUUGGAGGCAGGUGGCAUCACCACUGAGCUAAAUCCCUGGCAAGGGGGCUUCUUUUUUGAGUUGAUGAAAAUGUUUUAAGUAGACCAAUUAUAGCUAUAUUUAUCUAUGAAUGGGCUAAAAUCAUUGCAUUGUACUCUUCAUUGGGUAGAUUGUGAUACAUGAAUUAUAUCAAUAAAACUAUUAGAAAACUAUGAUAAAGGUAUCCAUGACUUAGUUGCUUACAGUUGACAGAAUUGACAUG